rnacentral:rRNA from 1 species
UACGGAGGGGGCUAGCGUUGUCCGAAGUUACUGGGCGUAAAGCGCGCGUAGGCGGGUUGGUAAGUCCGCUGUGAAAGCCCGGAGCUUAACUCCGGAGGGUCGGUGGAUACUGCCAGUCUUGAAGGUGCUAGGGGGAGAUGGAAUUACCGGUGUAGCGGUGAAAUGCGUAGAUAUCAGGAGGAACACCGAUGGCGAAGGCAGGUCUCUGGGCCACUACUGACGCUGAGAAGCGAAAGCAUGGGGAGCGAACAGG